UAACAUGGGGAUAUAAAGUCCAGGACCCUAAACUGGGGUCAGGAGACUCUGCCUCGAGCUGAAUCGGGGAGCCCCGGCCUUUUCCUCCUCCUCCCCCUCCUGCUCCCAGCCACACAGGCCACGGUCACCCUGAGUGUGUAGGACUUCUCUGUAGCCAAAGGCCUGGCCUGAGGACCUGAGCCCAUCUCGCCUGCUUCAGUGGCUAUGGCCAGGUCUGAUGGCAGGGCCCCAGCCAGAGAAAAGCUCCCUCCCUAGUGAAGGCAUGGGGACUCAUAGUGAGCUGGGCCAGAGCAGCUGGUCACGUCCUCUCUGCCCCCGGGGGGAGGAAAAUGGCUGUUUGCAUGGGGAGAUGGUGGCCACAACCCGGCAUGCCUGGGUUCACUGCUGCGUGACUUUGUUCUUGGUUUUCUUAUCCAUAGGAUGGGGCUGUGAACACUGCCUCUACCUGGGGCAGCAGGUGAGCCAUUCUGAGGCCAUUCCUAGAGUGGGGGCUUUGGGAUGAUCGUGCACUCUCUGUGGAAGGAGGUGCAAGGGCACUGGAGGAGGUGGGGCUGGUUUUCAUUCUGACCCUGCCAUUUCCCAGCUGUGGCCCCUGUGUGUGUCACUUGACCCCUCCAGCACCAAGAAAUGGAUGAAAAGUAGCGUCUCCUUUGUGGGUUGUUGUGGGUUCAAGUGUCAACCUAGAUAUCACAGUGCUUGCUCACAGCAGAGCGGCCUGUGGGUGUCUGCCGUUUUAUCGUGCAAUUCACGGAGGCCUCAGGUGGGGGGGUCUUGCAGAGACAUGCACCCCCCCCCACCUCCAUUAAUGCAACACGAAUGCUCCCUGGCCUUUUCUUUCUGUCCUUGUCCUUCCUCCUGUGUGUGUGUUGGAGGGAGCAUUGUUGUUGUUAGCUCUCUCGGGAAUUCAGGUUGUUUCUUAACUCUCUUGGGAAUUCCCAGCACCUAAAUAAUCUUUGUCCUUUUUUCUUUUUUCUUUUUCAUCUCAUCCUUCU
rnacentral:lncRNA from 1 species